UUUUUUUUAAAGAAAUCUUCAAUGUCAGUGAUAUGUGCAAUUAGAGUUGUUUUGUUUAAACAUGAAAUUAGACUUGUUUUACUGUUCUUGCAGGUCUUACUGUUAAUUCUAUCCAAUAGGGUAGCUAGAUGCCUAAUUGCCGAACCAAUAGAGAAGGCAUUCAAAGUCAUCUCAAAUUCAGCAGGCAAUGAUGCUAUUAACACAAAAGAACAAAGAACCAAACCAACCAUCCUCCAAUUUGGGGAUAUUAGUUUUCAGAGGGAGACAGUGAAAAGAUCUCAUUCUGCUAGUAAUACUAACCUGUUGGAUGGAGACCUUGGUAGCGCAGUUGUUUGCGAGGAGGUAGUAGUGCCGGCUGUCUGUGGCAUUAGAGCAAUUUUGGUGUCUCCUGUCAACAGAAGAAAAUGAAUAGCCACUCAGUUGCUGGAUGAAGUGAGCUAUCACCCAAUACCAGUUGUGUUCUCUGAGGCAAAGGGAUCAUGUAUAUGGGAUCCUGAAGGCAAAUGGUAUCUAGACUUUCUCUUUGCUUAUUCUGCAGUUAAUCAGGGACAUUGUCAUCCAAAAAUUAUGAAAGCAUUACAAGAACAGGCAGAAAGGCUCACCUUUAGCUCUCGAGCAUUCCAUAAUGAUAAAUUUCCAAUAUUUGCAGAGCGUCUAGCAGAAAUGUUCGGAUAUGACAUGGUGCUGCCUAUGAACACUGGUGCUGAAGGUGUAGAAACAACUCUGAAGUUGGCUAGGAAAUGGGGUUAUGAGAAGAAGAAAAUUCCAAAAGAUAAGGUAAAGUUCAGGGAGAUUAUAUUUAACACAUACAAGGUCAUCUCUCUAUGUCUUAGUUAUUUUAAUUGUUGCUUAAACUGAAGAGAUUUACAAAUUGAGGCACUAAGUUCAGCUCAAAAUAUUUACUGGCCUUUGUAAGCAAUGAUUGGGUUAAGUUAUUAUUUCAAUGCCCUUAAUAAUGUAUUUUUCAAGGAUAAGAAGAAUGCUUUGUAAC